CGUUCACCCAGAGCGAGACUCGCACAUAAGAUGUGUCGUGAGAAACAUGGACUUUAGGCUCUCCGGCUUAUUGGUACAUGUGCUUCCUACCUAGGCAACCCGGGUUCAAUACCAGCUCCCGGUGCGUCUUGUUUUGCUACGGACUGGUACGGCUAUCUUCGGGUGCUCCGGUAAUUUGCACAAGACCACAUCAACAUUGAACAUUUUUAAGUUACGACUGAUUAGCUGGAGAUUUCUGCAACUAUUCAGAAUCCGUCUCAAGAUGAGUACCGAGACACACUCCAGGUCCAUACAUAUGGCAGCCACUGGCUCAGAAGGAACCCACACAAAGACACCACACCACAAAUGAGGACAAAUGUGGAACAAUUAUCCACAACCAACGCGACUGUCAACGUCAAUUCGUUUUUAUUCACUCUAUUAAAUCGAUUAUAAUGAA